GAGAGCAUUCAAAGCUUGAGCAUUCAAGUUCAAGUUAGAGAAGAGAGGACCCAAUAGGUAGGUGGCCUAACAUUAGGCAUGUUAGGUAGCCUAACAUAAUUAGGCUAAGUUAGGCUGGAACCCAUCACUUGCAACCAGGUUGCGUAGUGGCUAGUGAUGUUGAUAGUGUCAUUCUUCCAGCAGAUAUUUGUGGAGGGGAUUGUGUUCUUGCAUUUACAAAUUUCAAACAAAACAAGGUAAACUUUUUUGCUGUGUAGCAGUCCAAGAAAGUGUUGGGCUGAAUCUGAAAAAUCUCUUUCUGAUGAAAGAGUGAGUUGAUCUCAUCAUCUAGUCCUAAAGCACUGCUUUAUAAUUUCUUAGCAAUUAGUAUCUACUUCUAUCUUGAAAGUAUUGACACCUACUUUGUUACAGCCACUUAUGAUUACAGUGAGGAAAAUGAAACAGUUCUCAAUGACACACCUGAUAAACUUGGAGUUGAAGCGGUAAGUAUGAGAUGAUUUGCAUAUCUUUGAAUUUAUUUUUAUUUUUUCCUUUCAGAUGUUUGAUGAACAACUUAGAAGUUAUGUUAAAAAAUAAAAAAAAAUUCCUUAGGAAAGUCUAACUUGAUCAGAAAUGUAUUAUGGUAUGUCAGUUCUAGGGUGUGCUUGCAGGAUGAACUGUGGCUUCUUUGGCUAUUGUAGUCAGUAUUUAAACUGCCUAUGGAUCACAUGAGCAGAUUAUGGUGCAUUUUCCCUAAUUAUGAUACUGGUGCCUUGAAAUGACAUCCAUAUCAUGCUUUGCAUAUAAAGUUCAAUGCUUCUGUCUCAAGUAAUAAGAACAAUGUAGAUAAUAUUUUGAAUAUGGGAAGUGUUAUAUUUCUAAGUAUGCCUACUAGGCCAAUAGCGAAUAUUCUUGUGAGCAUUCACAGAAUUUUUUCUUGAAAUUCCUGUAAAGGCUCCCAAAUGUUUAAUUGAUAUUCAUUUUUCAUGGAGCUAUUUCAAGCUUAACUUUUGGCAUUUUUGCGUGACUUCUCUUCCAGGUCAAUGUCUCAAACUAUUGGGAAGCCAUAGGUGUUACUGCAGCUCAUAAGGCAGGAUUAGGCCCAAAUUCUCUCCAAAGAAAUACAAUUAAUAACCAUCAAAUGCAAGUUAGCCAUCCCUGCUAUUGCAAUGAGAAUACUGAUUUGGAGAAAAUAAUAUAGUGGGAAAAAUAAAGGACACCAAGAUAUAAUGUGGUUCGGCAAUUUUGCCUACGUCCACGGUUGGAGAGCAGCGAGGAAAUUUCUACUAUGAGACUAAAGAAUCUUUACAACCUCACUGAAAGUACCACUCAAUACCCAAAACCCUAUUACACCCAGAUACACUUUCACUUGGAUCUCUCUCAAAACCUCUCUAUUUUGAAAACUAGGGAGGAAGAGAUUUUUGGUGUGUCUUGAACUCUAGGAGAUGGGGGGUAUUUAUAGAAACCAAUGACCAAACAUGUGGUCAUUAAGAGGACAAGUGGCAUAAUUUUAGACACAAGUGAUUGAAUUUGAGCCACACAAAUUGGAGCCACAUGUUACAAUUUGAGCCACACAAAUUUGAGCCACAUGUUACAAAUCUCCACCUUGGCUGAAAUUAUACAUAGUGUUUUUCUUUUGAACUGCUCCUCUUCAUGUCCCUUAUAGUCUUUGAACUCCAAUCAAGCCUAGGCAAUGCUUGAACUUAUUUUCAAGAACUGGCUUCGUCAUCAUGUCUGCUGGAUUAUCUACUGUGGGUAUCUUCUCAAUUCUAACAGUCUCUCAUUCCUUGAUCUCUCUGAUAACGUGCAUUCUAACAUUGAUGUGCUUAGUUCUUUUAUGAUGCAUAGGAUUCCUUGUCAGAUGUAUGGCAUUUUGACUAUCGCAAUAGACUAUUGUUUCCUCCAAUUGUAUACCCAACUCAUCAAUUAGUCUUUGUACCUAGAUAGCUUCCUUUACAGUUUUUGUUGUUGUGAUGUACUCUGUUUCAGUGGUAGACAGAACAACGAUGGAUUGUAGCGUUGCUUUCCAACUAAUAGUACAAUCGCAAAGAGUGAAGACAUACCUAGUGAGCAACCUUCGUUUAUCUAGGUCUCUGGCAUAGUUUGAGUCUGGGGGUGUGUAGCGGUUCGGUUAGACCGAACUAAUCGAACUGAACCGAACCGACUGAAUCGGCCAGUUCGGUUCGGUUAUUGAGGGUCAAUUAUCGGUUUCGGUUAUUCUAUGCCAAAUUUCGGUUAUUAAAAAAGCGGUUCGGUAUUCCUUGUUUGGUUAACCGAAUAAACCAAACCAACUGUUAAUCAAAACGACGUCGUUUUGUAUAUGAUAAAAUGAUGUUGUUUUAUGCUAAAAACUGAAUAUCGUGGAGAACAGGGGCUACUGACUAUGCAUCCAAACCAAUUUGGAGUCUUUGAUUCGAAUGCAACGAGAGAGAGAUAGGGAAACCCUAGUACCCAACCGUUGUCGUCGCUUCCAACCGUCGCCGUCGAUUCCUUUCGGUGCUUCCUUUGUCUCUGCUGCCUUUCCCUUUUGCCGUCAGACAUCAACAGAGGUGAGUUUGAAUCUUUGAGCGUUCGAGGGAGAAAGAAACCCUAAUCCAUCUCCAUCCUAACUGAAAUUGAGAGCAGCCCUACCGUCUGUCGAUUCGUCGCAGUCAGUUAACUCCUUGCCUCAUUCCGUUCUACUCCUAAUCGAAACCCUAAACCUAAAGCCUAAUUGAUUACUGUCGAGCGUUGGUUAGUUUGAUUCUUUUCUUUCCACGAUAUCGACCCACACCACACCGAGUCAUCGACGAGCGACCCACUCGGUUACUCCUACGACUGACGGAGGUUAGUUUCGAAUUUUCCUUAAGUUAGGGUUUUAGAUUUUUUAAAUUUUUUGGACUUUUAGUUACGGGUUUGGGGGUUUGUUGUUGUCUCAAGGGGGUCUCUCAACUCAAUAGCUGUAAUACAUAAUAGCUGCAAAAUUCCAGAAUAGCUAAUAAUACAGAAUAGCUGUAAAAUUCCAGGCAUGUAUUUUUUAUCCCAACAUUAUUUAGUUGUGUAAUGUGGUAGAAGUGGAUUCCAUGUUUAAUCAAUUGCUUUAUAAUAAAGGAAAAAAUCACUAGCUGACAAGUCAAGAUUGUUUGAACUUGGUUUGUGAACAUUUUUGGUUCUCCAUGGUAUCAGAUUAGAUGCACUUCAUCUGUUUAUUUUUGUUUAAAUUAUUCACAAGUAACUUCUAGAUGUAAAUGUUUCUAUUGCCGUGUAAACAACAAUAAUAUACCAAGGCUUUGAUUAUAUUAAUUCACUAAUCACUAGUCCUUUCCUUUCUAUUUUUGGCCUCUAUAUAUUGUUGUGUUAAAUUAAAAUAACAACUAUACAUUGUUGUUAUAUGGUCAUAAUAUAGGAAGCGAUUAUUUUCUCAUGUUCUAAAUUUCUAGUGCUAGUACUAGGAGAAUAAUAGAAUUUUAAUUGUAGCCCCUUAAUUUUUCUUUUAAAUUACAAGACUGUAAGUUAAUCACAAGAAGACAUUUUAACUCAUUGUUUAAAUACAUAGUAAUUACAAUUGUAUUAAUUUUAGAUGGCAAGAGAAGAAGAUACCAGUCACACCACAAACAUCCUUAGAAUGGAUGAUAGUUCAAGGCCAAUACCAAUUGUACCAAGUCAAGGUAGCCAAUCUCAAGAUGUUAGAGAUGCAACAUCACUAAGAAAGACAAAGAGAAAAACAAUAAGACCUAGGUCAGAUGUGUGGGAUCAUUUUACUAAGUUUACAAAUUCAGAGGGUCAUAUUAAAGGGAGAUGCAACUAUUGUUCUAGGGAGUUCCACUAUGAUCCCAAAAAAAUGGGACUACGACUCUAAGGAAUCAUAUGGGAACAUGUAAAAAACAGCCUCAUGUUUUGGAAACCCAUCAAAUGGAAUUAAACUUGCAACCAACUUCAACGGGGAUGGAGAGAGAGGUGGAGAGUAUGGGAUUGGUGAAUGAGAAAUUUGAUCAAGUGCUUACUAGAAAGGUUUUAGCUCGCAUGGUGAUGGUAGAUGAGAUGCCUUUCAAAUUUGUUGAGCGUAAGUAGUUUAGGCACUUCAUUAAUGUGAUUUGUCCAAAAUUUUGGAUUCCUUCACGUUGGACAAUUUCUCGUGAUUGUUUUGAAUUAUUUAAUGAAGAGAAGUUGAAAUUGAUGAAUGAGAUAAAAAAAUUCUUAUCAAAGAGUUUGUUUAACCACUAACACAUGGACCUCCAUUCAAAAGAUUAAUUAUAUGUGCUUGACGGUGCACUAUGUUGACAAUAAUUGGACAUUGAAGAAAAAAAAUUAAUUUUUUGUCCAAUAUCUAGUCACAAAGGUGAUGCCAUUGCUAUGGCAAUUGAGAAGUGUUUAAUGGGAUGGAAACUCGACAGAGUAUUUACUUUGAUAGUAGAUAAUGCUAGUUCAAAUGAUGUUGUUGGUAACUUCAAGAAAAAAAUAGCGAAAUAUGAUGCUAGGAUUAUAAGUGGCCAUUAUUUGCAUAUGAGGUGUGUGGCUCAUAUAAUAAAUCUAGUUGUGCAACAUGGGUUGAAAGAACUAGAUGAAUCAAUAACAAGAGUUAGGAAUGCAAUUAGAUAUAUUAGACAAUUUCCAACACGAUUAAGAAAAUUCAAAGAAUGUGUGAAAGUGAAAAAAAUAGAAUCUAAGGGCCUAUUAUCAUUGGAUGUUGCAACUAGAUGGAACUCCACAUACUUGAUGUUAGAGACUGCUUAAAAGUUUGAGAGGACUUUUGACAAAUUUGAUGAGGAAGAGCCCUGUUUUAUGCUUAAUCUUGGUACAAGUAGUUGGAAUAAUGAGUUGCAACAUGUUAUUACUAUUGAUGGAAGAUCCAAGCCAGAAGAUUGGACGAGGGUCAGAAUGUUUGUUAGAGUGUUGCAACAAUUUUAUGAGCUUACUUUGCGGGUUUUGGGUUCUUCAUAUGUCACCUCCAACACAUUUUUCCAUGAGAUUAGUAUUGUUUAUUGUCUCUUAUAUGAGUGGCAAGAUGGUGACGAUCUUAAGUUGAGCGAAAUGGCUGGGAAAAUGAAAGAAAAAUUUGAUAAAUAUUGAGGGGAUCCGGAAAAAAUAAAUCACCUGCUUUACAUUGCUAUGGUGCUUGAUCUUACGCACAAGUUAGAGUUUAUGAAAUAUGCACUUCAAGAGAUGUAUCCAGGUGAGAAAGGGGUUAUUGCAGUUUUGUCUUUAAAAAAUGCCAUAUAUGCUUUGUAUGAAGAAUAUAAGAAAUAAUUGGCACCUCAAGGUGAAACAUGAGAACUAUCUCAAGUGUGUACUCCACCUGCUAUGGAGAAUGUCGAGAAGGGACAAUCUAGCAGACCAAAUUUGCUUAGUUCUCGUUUCAAAAAGUGUAAGUCUGGCAGUGGUAGUGGGUUUACAAUUGUGCCUUUAGAAUGUGAUAAGUAUUUAAAUGAAGUGUGUGAGGAGAAAACUGGUGACUUUCACAUUUUGAAUUGGUGGAAAGCUAAUUGUCAUCCGUUCCCUAUUCUAUCUUCUAUGGCUCGAGAUGUGCUGGCAAUUUUAGUUUUUAUUGUUGUGUCCGAGUCUGCUUUCAGCACAAGGGAUCGAGUACUUGAUUCAUUUAGGAGUUAUCUAUCUCUUAAAAUGGUUGAAAGUCUGAUUUGUACGCAAGAUUGGCUUCGGUCAUCUACUACCUCAAUGAGUGUUGAAGAAGGUUUGGAUCAUGUUGAACAACUUGAAGAAGAAUUGGCAAAGGUUACUGUUGACAGCCCCUCACUUGUGGAAAUUUAGAUUUUGAAGAUUCAUGCAUUUGAAAUGAUGGUCAGUCCUGAAGAACUAGAAGAAGGUGAAUGGAUUCCAGAUGAAGACCAUGAAGUAAAUGAUCCAAGUGGAAGUGUUUCAGACGAAGGUCUAUAUCACCUGAAUAUGAAUCUUAAAUCUGAUUGUCAUAUUAUAGUAUUAGUAACGAAUUUAGAUUCUUGGUUGUCUUAAUGUCUUUGUAAUUGUUUGAAACUAGCAUUAUCUACUGUGUGAUUAGCUUUGUUUCUAAUUGACAUUGUAGAUGUGUGAUUAGCAUCAGGUAGAAGUAUACUUCUCCAUGUGGACUAUAGCCGACUAGGUGCAUUUUGGUUAAAAAAUUUGGGUAGUCGGUUAAAUCGGUUAUUUGUUUAGAUUUAUUCGAUUCGGUUUUUGGAUGGGUUUUCAGUUCGGUUGGCUCAAUGUCAAACUUGGUUAGUUCAGUUCAGUUGUUGGGUAGGUUUUUCGGUUCGGUUAGCUUAAACUCAAAAUCGGUUAGAUCAGUUUCGAUUAGUGUAUCGGUUCGGUUCGGUUAUACGCUUAGGGGCGGUUCGGUUAACUAAAAUUGACCGGUUCGGUUCGGUUAUAACUGAAUGCACACCUCUAUUUGAGUCAACGUAUCCAAUGAUUUUUCCUCUAGCAUUUUUGAAUUUUCCAUACACCAAGCCUACAUCAGCAGUUCCUUUCAAGUAUCGCAAAAUCCACUUUAUAGCUUGCCAAUGAGCUUUGCCAGGAUUUUCCAUGUACCUGCUUAC